rnacentral:lncRNA from 1 species
CUCCCCGGGAAGGAGUGGGUCUGGGUCCAGUCCGCAGGACCCCCUCGCGGAUGCUGACGCAGAAUGGAGUUGAGGUGGGGGCAGCGCUGGACCCUAGGGCCCCUGCCUGCCUCCUGGGGAGCCCGGUGACCCAGGCAGCCCUGGUGAGGCCGCAGGAGUCUGGGCCCUAGCGACGCCCCCGGGCUCCCACAGGACGAAUGUAGACGGUGAGGCCAAGGACGCCCUGCUGCCCUCGGGACUGUCCCUCCAGCCCCCAGCUUUCCGUGGUUAUUGGGCCCCCUCUGCAGAGGGGCAGGGGAGCCCACCCUGGAUCCUGAGGCGCCGAGCUUGAGGGACCCCAGAGCUCCAGCCAGGCCGCUUUCUUUGCGGAUGGUGAAGCUGAGGUCCCGAGGAGGGCAGGGGCAGGUCCCGGGCGCUCCUCAGGCAAAGGGAGCCGAUUUAGGGGCUGGGGUCACAGGAGGCGCUUCUGCGACCUCUAGGGCCCUAGAGCCCGGGAGGAUGAGAGACUGGGGGCCUUUCGUCCACCCCUGGGGCUGGGCAGACGCUCAGCCUGUGCAACCCGAAGCUGCUUCUGCCCAGUCCCAGCCGCGGCCCCUUUAAGAGGGGGUGGUGCUUCAGCCUGGCGCCAGGGACGCUGCCAGCAUGCAGGCCCCGACGGAAGCCGAGACUGCGCUUCGUGCGAGGCCCGGGCAGCAUCGGCGGCGUGGUCAGAGCGAGUCUCGGAGAAGAUGUGGUGGCUUCCGUUUGUUGGUGGAGGAGGUGGCAGGCCUCGGCGGGUAACCCAGAGAACACAGCCGAAGUGGAAUGUGGGGACGUCUGCGACACCGGGGACAGAGCAACUGUGGAUGAAGAGGGCUACAUCUGGUUCCUGGGGAGGAGUCAUGACACUAUCAAUGCCUCUGGGUGGUGAAGGCAUUGAUUGUCCUGACCCCACAGUUUCUGUCCCAUGACAAGGACCAGCUGACUAAGGAGCUGCAGCAGCAUGUAAAGUCAGUGACAGCCCCAUCUGCCACCAGCACUCACUCCAGCCACUAAAGCCAGAAAGUUGAAAGACCUCUGCCCUCAUCCGGCCCAGCCCCCAUCCAGCCAAAGACCUGUCAUUUCAACCUCACGCCCACCCCGCUUUCCACUCCCACUGCUCCUGCCUUAGUUCAGACCACCACCGUCGCUCUCCUACCCAGUUCAAGCCAAGCUGACCUGGCCAGUGGCCUUCAGGCCUUCCCUUCUCCAUCCUGCCAUGUCCAUCCUCCACAGGCAGAACAGGAAGCUGUCAUGUAAAAGUGCAGGUCUGCUUUGGUCCUUCUCCUAAACCCUUCAGUGGCUUCCCGGUUCCCUUUGGGUCCUGGUACAGAUUCCUUAGCAUGGCCAGGGAGGACAGCCCUCCAUGAUCCUCCCCUCCCUGAGAUGUUCCUCCUGCCCCAGCACCCUGUGUUUGAGCCCAAGCCCGCCCUGUGGUGUCACGGGAGGCCCAGCUCCUCUGCCUGGGGUGCCUUGCCUGGCCUAGGAACUGGGAAAACUUACCUGCUUCCAAGACUCAGCUCUAGCACCUCUUCCUGCUGGGUGUUUUCCGAUGCCCCCCCUCUCGCCACCUCAUGGGGACCCCACAGUCCCCUGAAGAGCCUUCUGCCCCAGUGCCUCACCCCACUCUUUAGACCUGUUUCUGUUUCCAUGGCUGCCUUGCCUUCUUAGACCACGGGCUCCUGCAGAGCGGGACCCCAUAUCUCAGUCGGCUUUGCAUUCCCAGUGCCUGGCCGAAACUGAGGCUGGAAUGGUCUCCUAUUCCAUAAGCUCUCAAUAACCCUUGAAAAAUGACUGGAAUCCUGGACAGCGCCAAGGCAGCAACUGGGAUGGGAGAGUGAUCUGCUGCCCUCUCCUGGCAAUGUGAGGAAUUGUCCUAAGCACAGACAACUCCCUCCCUGCCUUGCACAAGUGCAGGAUGGGGGAAACUGGAAAAGGAGCUGAUGGAGGAUUGGGGAGGUGGAUGCUGUCUAAGGAGACAAACUGAAUUGAGGGGUUGCUGGGACUCGGCCGGCUCACAUGCUAUUCCCAUGUCAUGGGCCCAGGGGCCAAGUCAGUGCUUCCAAAGGAGGGUGCAUCCUGAGAGAGGCUCUGGCUCCCCCAACAAAACCCUAAACUCUUGAAGGACAUCUUCCUUCUCAGUAUACCCUAUUGCUGUGUUGUUGUAACUAUCACUGUAACUUUUAUUCACUUCAGUGGGCGAUCACUGAGUUUUUCCUCCAUUGUUGUAAAACAUGUGUUUUGCUCUUGUGUGUAAAAUGACUGUGAAUUUAGCCACUGCCUUCUCCUGAUUUUAACUCAGCUUUCUACUGCUAGGAGGUUAUCUCUGUUCUGGGUUUCUCAGCUUUCUAUCAAAACCCAAAUACUGUCAUUCCUCGGUAUCCGUAGGGGAUUGGUUCCAGGAACCUCCCUUGAAGAUACCAACAUUGCAGGUGCCCAAGCCCCUGAUAGAGAACAGCGCAGCAUUUGCAGACAACCUAUGUACACACUGCAUGCACUUUCAAUCAGCUCUAGAUUACUUCUGAUACCUAAUUCAAUGUAAAUGCUGUGUCAGUAGUUGUCUAGGGAAUAAUGACAAGAAGAAAAUUUUGUACAUGUUCAGUACGUAGGAAAAAGAAAGAGAGAUCAGACUGUCACUGUGUCUAUGUAGAAAGGGAAGACAUAAGAGAUUCCAUUUUGAAAAAGACCUGUACUUUAAACAGUUGCUUUGCUGAGAUGUUGUUAAUUUGUAGCUUUGCCCCAGCCACUUUGCCUUAGCCACUUUGACCCAACCUGGAGCUCACAAAAAUAUGUGUUGUAUAAAAUCAAGGUUUAAGGGAUCUAGGGCUGUGCAGGAUAUGCCUUGUUAACAAAAUGUUUACAAGCAGUAUACUUGGUAAAGGUCAUCGCCAUUCUCUAGUCUCAAUAAAACAGGAGCACAGUGCACUGCGGAAAGCCGCAGGGACCUCUGCCCUUGAAAGUGGGGUAUUGUCCAAGGUUUCUCCCCAUGUGAUAGUCUGAAAUAUGGCCUCGUGGGAUGAGAAAGACCUGACUGUGCCCCAGCCCGACACCCAUAAAGGGUCUGUGCUGAGGUGGAUUAGUAAAAGAGGAAAGCCUCUUGCAGUUGAGAUAGAGGAAGGCCACUGUCUCCUGCCUGCCCCUGGGAACUGAAUGUCUCGGUAUAAAACCCGAUUGUACAUUUGUUCAAUUCUGAGAUAGGAGAAAAACCGCCCUAUGGUGGGAGGCGAGACAUGUUUGCAGCAAUGCUGCCUUGUUAUUCUUUACUCCGCUGAGAUGUUUGGGUGGAGAGAAACAUAAAUCUGGCCUACAUGCACAUCCGGGCAUAGUACCUUCCCUUGAACUUAAUCAUGACACAGAUUCUUUUGCUCACAUGUUUUUUGCUGACCUUCUCCUUAUUAUCACCCUGCUGUCCUACUACAUUCCUUUUUGCUGAAAUAAUGAAAAUAAUAGUCAAUAAAAACUGAGGGAACUCAAAGGCCGGUGCCAGUGCAGGUCCUUGGUGUGCUGAAUACUGGUCCCCUGGACCCACUGUUGUUUCUCUA